rnacentral:lncRNA from 1 species
AAAUGUGAUCUCGUGAACCGGGUGGCAACAGCCACGGCGUCUUGGGCGACCCAGCCAAGCGCGCAUGGGAAACACUAGUGUCUUGUCAGUCACGUUUUCACAGAAAAACAGCCUCAUUGUAAGGUGGCUUUAGUUCACGAGCUCCCAGGGCUGCUUUAUGCCCACAAGGAAACAUUUAGGACCACUAGAAAAAUAUUUAUCUAUAAAGAUCAACACCAUCAAAUAUCCUCCCCAGCACGCACGACCUGCCUACACAGCCCCAGCCCACAGCUUCCAUCACCAUCCUGACUACUGGGACAUCCCUGGGGAUGGGAGCGGGGAAGAUCUGGGAUUACACAUUAGCCAGGCCAGCCGCACCAAGGUCCCUGGUAAUAGGAAGGGUUACAAGACAGCAGUCGGUCACGCUGUUAAUGUGUAACGCUCGUGCCACCUUUACCUAGCUUUCCGCUCGCCUGCUUUGUGGUGUCAGCAUCUGCCAGAAGCCAUGGGGAGUCCAGGCAGGGGCUUCUCAACCUACUGAAGUUUGUCCUCGCCAGCACCCUCAGAGACCCUUCAUGGGCAGGUCCUGGUUUUGUGGCACCUGCUGGUGCUGGUGUAAACCUCGGGGCCCCCCCUUGCCCCAGGUUGCAGACCCUCCCGCCCCUCUCCACGGGCCAGCACCCCAUGUAUGUGUGCGUGCCUGUUCUGUUUCCCCUGUUCUAUUUCUAUCUUAUUCCACUCCAUGGAGCUUUGCAAGUCCAUUGACCGCUGGAUUGGGCAGAGAUCUCAACCACACACAGCCCCACCAGCUUUGUUGAAACAGGUGGAUGGCCAGGGCUGAGCGACCAAAAUCUAGUGGAAAUAUCUUCUCCUGGUGGCAAGGUCAUGGCAGGGACUUGCCGCUGUGGCCGGCAGGGCCGGUGCUGACGCUGGUGCUCAGCUUGAAGGUGCAGGACUGCACAGCCUGGCUUUGUUGGGCAGCAUCCCCCUGGUGCAAGCUGUGCUGCUUUACCAGGGACACAGCUCAGCCUGCCUUAUCACUAGGUUUGCAUCUGGUUUCCAUGGAAACUAAAGAAAACAGGCAGCAAGCCCCCUCCAAAAACAACUUUGAACAGCCCUUCCAGUAUCAUCUUUCAGACUGUCACUUUGGAUGUGUCACGUUUUUCCUAGAAAGUGUGUGCAAGUAUGGACAGACUGGUACCUACUUGUCCUGGCAGGCCCACUGAGAGCUGGAUCCUUCUGAAGCAUCUUCCAUGGCAAUUCUUAGCCAAACAUCACAAGUGCAAAUGGCGUACAAAAACCUGGGUGCACACAGAAAAAAAAUGAGAUCAGCUACAGAGAAAAGGAAAUGGAUGGAUGGGCUGUUAAGAGGAGAGAAGAAAACCAGUCCCAGUGGGAAAUCGUAAGUACCACUGGGAGAUGCCUGCCCCUGCCCUUUCUGGGGGUGAUACUGGGGGACCCACCACUCCCUGUGCCCAUGGCUGGGGUCUGGAAACAGCUCUGGGCCAAAUCCUGUGCAACACUGCAGCCUCCCCAACUGGAAAAGUGAAGGAUUAGUGCCCUCUUCCAAAUCAAAUCUGGCUGAAAGGAGCAAAUCCCAUCUCCUCCUCCAUGGGCUUCAUCUUCUUCCUCCCCUCUUCCCACCAGCACGAACCAGAGCCAAGGAGCCAUCCCGGGGAGCAGCCAGAUUGCGCUGUGUGUUCAAACCAGCAGUGAUGACCUGUGGCCAUCUGUUCAUCACAGGUGUGUACACGGCACAGGCUGCAACAGAGGCACCCUCAGACACACCAGUCAUGGGCUGUGGUGUGCGUGGGGCUGCCGGGAGGGUGGGUGCCAGCCCUGGCUGAUGUCCCACACCACUGGGGUCCACACGUCCACAGCUCCUGUGCUGCAAAGCCCUGCCGGCCACCUCAGGCAUUGUUUGCCCACCUGGUGUCCUCCAGACCUCACGGCAGCGGUCCCUGCUCACCACCAAAACGUGAUAUCUCUCGACACAUGGUGCCAAAUAAGCCCCUUAGCCAGCUCUCCUCACCAGGGGAGGAUUGCCUGCUGGUCACUCCAAAUUCCUUCACAUCUGCAAAAAGGAGUGGGUGCACGUAGAUGAAAAGC